AGGACAGAGUGAAUGCCGAUCGAAAGAGCCAGAGAAGGCGAAUGUACAUCAGGCCGCAGUCUGGCUGCACAGGCUUGCCUUGUGAGCUUCGAAGGCAACUGUGUGGAUCGCCCAGCACUCACGGAGGCCACCAGAAGGUGCCAAGGUUGUUUCCCUGAAAAAUGAAGACAAGCCCAUGGCCUGAGACCCUACAAGUGCUCUAAUUGAAAAUGAUUUCACAAAGUUGUAACCAUAUGAAGAUAUGACAGAGGAGAACAUAGAGGAAAAUGCUAAUAAAAAUACUGUUAAUUUCUGGAUUUCAGAAGGUUUAUUAUAGAUGCCAG